GAUGAAGAACGUAGCGAAAUGCGAUAAGUAAUGUGAAUUGCAGAGUUCAGUGAAUCAUCGAAUCUUUGAACGCACAUUGCGCCCCCUGGUAUUCCGGGGGGCAUGCCUGUCCGAGCGUCAUUGCUGCCCUCAAGCACGGCUUGUGUGUUGGGCCCCGCCCCCCGGCUCCCGGGGGGCGGGCCCGAAAGGCAGCGGCGGCACCGCGUCCGGUCCUCGAGCGUAUGGGGCUUCGUCACCCGCUCCGUAGGCCCGGCCGGCGCCCGCCGGCGACCCCCCUCAAUCUUUUCAGGUUGACCUCGGAUCAGGUAGGGAUACCCGCUGAACUUAAGCAUAUCAAUAAGCGGAGGA
rnacentral:misc_RNA from 1 species